rnacentral:lncRNA from 1 species
CUUGCAGGAAGGUGUGGGUGUGUGGUUUUGUGCGUGUGUGCAUGCGUGCGUGCAUGUGUAACAGUGCUGUGGGCCAGCAUCUAAUAGCUUUAGAGCUACAUCACGAUGUCAGAAGUGAUUCUGAGGUAGCAAGCAAAGUGGUUCCUCACUACUGUCCGCAGACUCCCCCACGUUGUUGGAGGAUUCCUUUCCCCCAUUUUGUACUGACUUUGGUGCACUUCCUUUGGACUCCUCCUGAGAAGAGACCUCCUCCUCCUUCCUUGAAGCCUCGUCCACCAUUGCGAAGGCUCUCUGGGUUUCGCUAAGGACCAGAAGUAGCAAGGCGUGUGGAGGCCGGAGACCGCGGUUUGAAUCCUGGCCCUGGAUUGAGGCUCUCCUGCUGCUCAGCCUCUCCAGACCCCAACUGUUCCCCCUCAGUAAGACAAUGAAUUGUAAGAGCGCCCGCCUCAAAGUGCUUCGAAGGUGAGAUAAAGUGAUCCGCACAGAACCGUGCGGUGAGAUAAAGUGAUCCGCACAGAACCGUGCGGUUUGUCGUCCUGACAAUAGCAGUAAAACAUCGUAAAGACCGC